AGUACGACCGCAAGGUUAAAACUCAAAUGAAUUGACGGGGACCCGCACAAGUAGUGGAGCAUGUGGUUUAAUUCGAAGAUACGCGCAGAACCUUACCAACACUUGACAUGUUCGUCGCGACUCUAAGAGAUUAGAGUUUUCGGUUCGGCCGGACGAAACACAGGUGCUGCAUGGCUGUCGUCAGCUCGUGUCGUGAGAUGUUGGGUGAAGUCCCGCAACGAGCGCAACCCUCACUUUUAGUUGCCAUCAUUAAGUUGGGCACUCUGAAAGAACUGCCAGUGAUAAGCUGGAGGAAGGUGGGGAUGACGUCAAGUCCUCAUGGCCCUUACGUGUUGGGCUACACACGUGCUACAAUGGUAUCUACAACAGGAAGCAAGACUGCGAAGUUAAGCAAAUCCCUAAAAGAUACCUCAGUUCGGAUUGCACUCUGCAACUCGAGUGCAUGAAGCUGGAAUUACUAGUAAUCGUGGAUCAGCGUGCCACGGUGAAUGCGUUCCCGGGUCUUGUACACACCGCCCGUCACACCAUGGGAGUUGGUUCUACCUUAAGGCAAGGUUUCAAACCCUUGACCACGGUAUAGUCAGCGACUGGGGUGAAGUCGUAACAAGGUAACC
rnacentral:rRNA from 1 species